UACGUAGGGGGCUAGCGUUGUCCGGAAUCAUUGGGCGUAAAGAGCUCGUAGGCGGUGUGUCGCGUCGGUCGUGAAAACUUGGGGCUUAACCCUGAGCUUGCGGUCGAUACGGGCAUCACUGGAGUUCGGCAGGGGAGACUGGAAUUCCUGGUGUAGCGGUGAAAUGCGCAGAUAUCAGGAGGAACACCGGUGGCGAAGGCGGUUCUCUGGGCCUGUACUGACGCUGAGGAACGAAAGCGUGGGGAGCGAACAGG
rnacentral:rRNA from 1 species